rnacentral:tRNA from 1 species
GCGGGGGUCGCCUAGCCUGGCCAAUGGCGCAGGGCUUAAGACCCUGUGGCUUAGUGCCUGCCCGGGUUCAAAAAUAAAGCUAUAUUAAAAUUCCCGGCCCCCGCACCA